GGGUGUGGCGCAGCUUGGUAGCGCGCGUCGUUCGGGACGACGAGGCCGCAGGUUCAAAUCCUGUCACCCCGACCA
rnacentral:tRNA from 1 species